rnacentral:tRNA from 1 species
AUUUAAAUAGCUUAUAAUUUGAGAGCGUAAUAUUGAAGCUAUUAAGGAGAUAGUUUUAUCUUUAAAUA